CCCCUCUCCCAGUUGCACCUGGAGAAUUUCCAGUACUCUACCAGUCUCAGCUAUGGGAGGGAGAGUGAAGCAGAGGCCUACCCAUUUCAUUCCUAGCCUGGGCAGUGGCUAGUGAGUGGAAGGCAAUCUGCUACAACU
rnacentral:snoRNA from 1 species